rnacentral:piRNA from 1 species
UGAGUGCUUUCGGAGAUGCAUGCCCUGG